rnacentral:rRNA from 1 species
AACAAGGUUUCCGUAGGUGAACCUGCGGAAGGAUCAUUACCGAGUUCCGGGCCCUAGCGGUCCGCUCUCCAACCCUUUGUGAACCUACCACCGUUGCUUCGGCGGGCCACCGCGCCCGCCGGAGGAACCCCAAAAAACCGUCAGUGAACUGUACAGUCUGAUCAGAUAUUCAAAUAUCUUAAAACUUUCAACAACGGAUCUCUUGGUUCUGGCAUCGAUGAAGAACGCAGCGAAAUGCGAUAAGUAAUGUGAAUUGCAGAAUUCAGUGAAUCAUCGAAUCUUUGAACGCACAUUGCGCCCCUUGGUAUUCCGGGGGGCAUGCCUGUUCGAGCGUCAUUACAACCCUCAAGCUCUGCUUGGUAUUGGGCGCCGUCCUUCACCGGACGCGCCUCAAAGGCCUCGGCGGCGGCUUCUCAGCCUCAAGCGUAGUAACACAAUUCUCGCUUUGGAGGAUGGGCGGUCGCCCGCCGGACGAACCUUCUAAUGAAACUAUUUCAAGGUUGACCUCGGAUCAGGUAGGGAUACCCGCUGAACUUAAGCAUAUCAAUAAGCGGAGGA